UAAAGCUUAGUGUAUUGAUUGCACAUGAAGU
rnacentral:piRNA from 1 species